rnacentral:rRNA from 1 species
AAUGAACGCUGGCGGCGUGCCUAACACAUGCAAGUCGCGCGCGAAAGGGGCUUCGGCUCCGAGUAGAGCGGCGGACGGGUGAGUAACACGUGGGUAAUCUGUCUGGGAGCGGGGAACAAC